rnacentral:lncRNA from 1 species
UGCUAUUGUUGCUUAUAGUAGCCACCCUGUUGCGGAGGGCGGUAUUGACCUGGAAUGGUGUAAGGAGGCCGAGGGUGCGAUCCAGGUUGUUGUGCAUGGGCAUUAUAGUAUGGGCCACGCCACCCUGGAUAAGCAGGUUGACCAUAGUCAUGGUUUGCAGGUGGCUGUUGCUGGGUCUGUGGAGGUGGGUAUGGACUACCAGCUUGAGGAGGUGGGUAUGGACUACCAGCUUGAGGAGGUGCAUAUGGACUACCAGCUUGAGGAGGUGCAUAUGGACUUGUAGGUUGUGGUGGCACAUGGUAAGGAGAUGGCAUCUGCUGCGUUGAGCUAUAGGGGGGAGGGUGAGUAUAUCCAGCAAUUGCUGGCUGCUCAGGAGGAUGGUAGUAUGGUGGGGUUUGAGGACGAGGAUCUGUUGGCUGUUGUGAACCAGGUUGUCCCACAGAACGAUAGUUGUUGUCGUACGCACCUGUGGUUUUCGUAUCCUGGAAACUGAGGCCUGCCAUUUUUUUGUGAACAUCUUCAAUCAUUUCCUUGCACUGAAUGUUUCUAGUCAUCACAAAGUCAUUGCACUGCUGCUUUACAUUCGUUAUUGCAUCCUGUCGAAGACGGACAAAUCAAUCAACCACCAGAACACGAAGUCAUGGAAAUUUCAAACACAACUAGGUGAAGAUUGAUAGCAUGCUGUCACAGCAGACACCAGAAGAGAUCCAACUAUAACAAAGAAAAUAGUGAUCUCAAAUAGCUAUAAAGUAAAGUGCACAUUAUUCAAAAUUACCUGAAGAGUAACAUAGAACUUUAAGCCCUCAUUUAUGUUCUCCUUAAUUUCGCGGAACUUUGCUAUGGCAGCUUGAAUCUGCUUGUAACAUUUCUCACGAGAUGCUGGAACAAAAUGAGAAGGAAACAAACAGGAAAAAUAUAAGAAUACACUCCACCUUAAUUAUAAUAUGCAAACAGAUAGCAUGACAGAAGCAAGGAAAUAGAUUCCAUGUCGUAAGAUAAUCAGAGGACUUCCCUACAAACAUAUUCAAUAUAUGACAAUGAAAACAGCCAACAGAGAAAAAGGCACUUGAAAUAAUAGAUUGUAAGAUAUCAUCAUGGCCAGCAGAACGGGUAAGAGCAAAUAAAAACUUGAGAAACAACAUUUAAUAAACAUGUAAAACACCCAUGUUACACAUGGGUCAGAAUAAUCAAUAUUCCAGAUUGUUUGCAGGCAUAAAUCUGUCUUUUAUCCAACGAAGUGAACAAGGGACAACGUUUCUAAAUUGCCAUAUAUUCAUUUACUAGUUAAUAUGAUAAUCAGUUACGGGGUCAAUAACAUGAUUGAGAUCUCAUUCUGGACAUUUUAUAUUACACCGUCUCUCUUCCCAUGGUAAAGGAAACAAUUUUUUCCAGAUUGAGAUAUAAGUGAACUCCAAAAGGUAGACGUGCACCCUCACCCAACCCACAGGCCCAAGCAUUUAACAAGGUCAUCAAGGGUAGAAUAAUACAACCAAUGAACAUCUACGACUAAAUAAUGCAUCAAUAGGUGUUACCUUAAAGCAUACAAACCAUUUAAAGCAUAAAAGACCUACCUUUAUAAUCUUCUAGAUUGAAGAUUGCAGCAAACUCAGCAUUUUGGGCCUGCAGAUGACAAACACACAUUUUGAUCAUGAGAUAUUUGAGAGCUUAAAUCCAUUUCCAUUUAUUUAGGAAUAUUAUACAAGGAAAGGAAUUUUCAAAACCCAUAGCAAAUACUACAGAUGAAUCUACAAAACAUGAAAUGACAGACAGCUCCUUGGUAAGCAAAUGAUAAUAUGGCAAGUGGCAACUGACUUGAUUUGACAAAGGCAUUUCAUUUCUUUUAACAAAAAAGAAUAAUAGGGUAGUACCACUAUAGCAUAUAUUUUCUCAUCAGACCUCUUCCAAGAUGAUAAAGAGAAUUAAGCCACAGAGUCUGCCACACCGCAUAUUAUUUAACCUUAUCCCUCUACCCACAAUAUAUCCAAUUGGGUCUUUUGAAAGUUACCAAUAAGUAGAACAACAAUGUGCAAAACGAAAGGUGUUGAUUCCAUCAGAAUGUUUUCUAUUCAGUUAUAUCUUAAACCACAAUAUACUGAUUUGGUCUUUGCAAAGUUAAAAAUAAGUAGCACAAAAAUGUACAAAACUAAAGGUUUUGAUACGACAAGAAUAUCGUCCAGUCAAUCUAGUUGCAUAUUAAAAUGAUAGGUACUGCUCAAUGUACGACAUUACCAAUUGCACACUCAAAACAGAUGUGGGAAAAAAAUGAAGAAAUAUGCAUAAAGAAAGUCCAACAACAAUAAAAAGGAAACAGACCUGGAUUUGCUGCAAUAAUUGUUCUUGUGCCUCAAUAUUAUGGGCAAUGUCUUCACUUAUGAGAUCAUACUUAGAUAUCUCCUUCCUGAAAAGAUCCUCAUAGGAGACAGUUGAUGUCAUCAACUU